UACGAAGGGUGCAACCGUUGCUCGGAAUUAUUGGGCGUAAAGCGCACGUAGGCGGCUUUUCAAGUCGGAUGUGAAAUCCCUCGGCUUAACCAAGGAAGUGCAUCCGAAACUGGAGAGCUUGAGUACUUAAGAGGAUCGCGGAAUUCCCGGUGUAGAGGUGAAAUUCGUAGAUAUCGGGAGGAACACCAGUGGCGAAGGCCGCGAUCUGGGAAGAUACUGACGCUGAGGUGCGAAAGCGUGGGGAGCAAACAGG
rnacentral:rRNA from 1 species